CCUACGGGUGGGCUGCAGUGAGGAAGAUUGGGCAAUGGCCGGAAGGAUGAACCAGCCAAGCGGCGUGAAGGAAGAAGGUGCCAAGCAUUGGAAACUUCUUUUGGCAAGGGACAAAAUCAGGCGCGAGAGCCUGACCGAGGGGACUUGAAGAAAAAGCAGCGGCUAACUCCGUGCCAGCAGCCGCGGUAAGACGGAGGAUGCGAGCGUUAGCCGGAUUUAUUGGGUUGAAAGGGUGCGUAGGCGGACUGUUAAGUCAGCGGUCACAGCCCGGGGCUCAACCCCGGCGAGCCGUUGAAACUGGCUGUCUUGAGCUGUCGAGUGCUAUGCGGAAUGCGCAGUGUAGCGG
rnacentral:rRNA from 1 species